GGAGGGUACAGCUCAACCGCAGAGCGUGUGCUUAGCAUGCACAAGGUCCUGGGUUCAAUCCCCAGCACCUCCA
rnacentral:tRNA from 1 species